GGGGAAUAUUGGACAAUGGACGAAAGUCUGAUCCAGCGACGCCGCGUGGAGGAAGAAGUCCUUCGGGAUGUAAACUCAUGAAGCUAACGAAUAAGAUGCAAGGGGAACCUUCCGGGAGAAGGUACUUAGUGACAAGCCCCGGCGAAAUACGUGCCAGCAGCCGGGUAAUACGUAGGGGGCGAGCGUUGCCCGGAAUUACGGGGCGUAAAGGGAACGUAGGUGGCUCUUAAAGUCAGGUGUGAAAAUAACGAAGCUUAACAGGUUAAUGCGCUUGAAACUAAAGGGCUGGAGGGCAAUAGAGGGAGAUGGAAUUACCUGUGUAGGGGUGAAAUCCGCAGAUAUAGGUAAGAAGGCCGGUGGGGAAGCCGAUCUCCUGGGUUGACUCUGACACUGUGGUUCGAAAGCUAGGGGAGCAAACC
rnacentral:rRNA from 1 species